rnacentral:rRNA from 1 species
UACGAAGGGGGCUAGCGUUGCUCGGAAUCACUGGGCGUAAAGCGCACGUAGGCGGCUUGUUAAGUCAGGGGUGAAAUCCUGGAGCUCAACUCCAGAACUGCCUUUGAUACUGGCGAUCUCGAGUCCGGGAGAGGUGAGUGGAACUGCGAGUGUAGAGGUGAAAUUCGUAGAUAUUCGCAAGAACACCAGUGGCGAAGGCGGCUCACUGGCCCGGUACUGACGCUGAGGUGCGAAGGCGUGGGGAGCAAACAGG